UACGUAGGGGGCAAGCGUUGUCCGGAAUCAUUGGGCGUAAAGAGCGUGUAGGCGGCCCGGUAAGUCCGCUGUGAAAGUCCAGGGCUCAACCCUGGGAUGCCGGUGGAUACUGUCGGGCUCGAGUCCGGAAGAGGAGUGUGGAAUUCCUGGUGUAGCGGUGAAAUGUGCAGAUAUCAGGAGGAACACCAAUGGCGAAGGCAGCACUCUGGGGACGUGACUGACGCUGAGACGCGAAAGCGUGGGGAGCAAACAGG
rnacentral:rRNA from 1 species